rnacentral:tRNA from 1 species
UCUCAGUUAGAGUGAUAAAAAGUAAUGUCACUCUGGUUUACACCCAGGAGGUCACAGGUUCGAAUCCUGUACUGCCCACCA